AACACACAUUCACACCCCAUGAGGGUCCUAUCUCACACACACCACACAUAUCCACGCCCAUGAGGGUCCAUCUCACACAACCACACCACCAUUCCACGCCCAUGAGGGUCCUAUCUCACACACACACACACACACUUCCACGCCCAUGAGGGUCCUAUCUCACACACACACACAC
rnacentral:lncRNA from 1 species